ensembl:lncRNA
AUACGUUUUCCUCAACUUGUUUUUACAGACGUUUUUAAUUAUGAAACCUAAUAUUUGCCAAAUAUGUUAAUUUGGCUGGACUAAUAUUUCAAGUUUGGUGUUUGACAUGAAUGUAUUUACACAGGUUUCCUUCAGGUUUGCAAAUAAAUGAUUACACGGAGUGAUGACAGUGGAACACCACAAUAUUUUCCCCAAUUAACCCAUUUGUAGCCUUAUGUUGUGAAAUAAUUUUUACCUUUUUACGAGGAACCUACACAUGCACACACACACAAUUCUAAAAAUUCCUCAGUGUGAUGUAUUAUACAGAUUUAUAACUGCUCAAGAGUUAUGACUGCAAUUAACAAGCAUUAAAAUGCACAAAACGUGCGUGGUGAUAAUUGGAGUCUUGGGACCAGUCCGUCUCUGUUCAAAUAUCCUGCCCUGUGUUCUCCGAAUCAGAUCCCUCUUCAUUACACAACAAACUCAGGGUCGAAGGAACUCCCCGGACACAGGAUGACACGCCAUUACCAUCUUCUGCCAUAGAUUUGUGUCGUUAUUACUUCUAAUUAGACACUUUUUGUGGGUUUUUAAUAUGCUAACAAUGUUUGAAUUAUUACGAUAAGAGAUGCUUUUAUUGUGAUCUUUGCAAAGAAAUUAUACAGCAAGUGUUUGCUAGAAUGUUAACUCAUUGGUGAAGGCUGCAGCAAAAGCUAGCCAAACAUAUUUAACUGGUCGAAAUUAAAGUGUUUUUUGAACCAGGCCUAUGCACUUGAUUUGCACAUUUCCGGCUCGCACACCGGAGUCUAGGAUUGAUCUGUCUCCCCAUGAUUUCAACAGUCACUAAAAACCUUGAAAGAAAAUGUGUAUGGAGAGUGUCCACACAUGGUUAAAAAAAUGCCAAAGAUUAUGUAGUUGACAGUCAAAGCAAUUGAAUGGUAGCAGAAACAGACUGGUACCCUUGUUAGCUAAAUGCCCUUAUUAAGUAUAUUCUUGUGUCAUUAUCAUAAUAAUUUGCUAAGAAAUGUUUUGCAAAACUUUAUGCUAUAGCAAAAAUCUUGCUUCAAAGUCCAGGUUAUUCAUUUCGUUUAAAGGCUACUGUAUGUAAUUGUCCACCUCUCACC